rnacentral:rRNA from 1 species
AACGAACGCUGGCGGCAUGCCUAAUACAUGCAAGUCGAACGAGCCCUUCGGGGUUAGUGGCGCACGGGUGCGUAACGCGUGGGAAUCUGCCCUUGGGUUCGGAAUAACGUCGGGAAACUGACGCUAAUACCGGAUGAUGACGUAAGUCCAAAGAUUUAUCGCCCAGGGAUGAGCCCGCGUAGGAUUAGCUAGUUGGUAAGGUAAAGGCUUACCAAGGCGACGAUCCUUAGCUGGUCUGAGAGGAUGACCAGCCACACUGGGACUGAGACACGGCCCAGACUCCUACGGGAGGCAGCAGUAGGGAAUAUUGGACAAUGGGCGAAAGCCUGAUCCAGCAAUGCCGCGUGAGUGAUGAAGGCCUUAGGGUUGUAAAGCUCUUUUACCCGGGAUGAUAAUGACAGUACCGGGAGAAUAAGCCCCGGCUAACUCCGUGCCAGCCGCCGCCGUAAGAC